rnacentral:rRNA from 1 species
UACGUAGGGGGCAAGCGUUGUCCGGAUUUAUUGGGCGUAAAGAGCGUGUAGGCGGCCAGAUAGGUCCGUUGUGAAAACUAGAGGCUUAACCUCUAGACGUCGAUGGAAACUGUUUGGCUAGAGUCCGGAAGAGGAGAAUGGAAUUCCUGGUGUAGCGGUGAAAUGCGCAGAUAUCAGGAAGAACACCCGUGGCUAAGGCGGUUCUCUAGUACGGUACUGACGCUGAGACGCGAAAGCGUGGGGAGCGAACAGG